rnacentral:rRNA from 1 species
UACGAAGGGGGCUAGCGUUGCUCGGAAUCACUGGGCGUAAAGCGCACGUAGGCGGCUUUUUAAGUCAGGGGGGAAAUCCUGGAGCUCAACUCCAGAACUGCCUUUGAUACUGGGAAGCUUGAGUCCGGAAGAGGUGAGUGGAACUCCGAGUGUAGAGGUGAAAUUCGUAGAUAUUCGGAAGAACACCAGUGGCGAAGGCGGCUCACUGGCCCGGUACUGACGCUGAUGUGCGAAAGCGUGGGGAGCAAACAGG